rnacentral:rRNA from 1 species
CCUACGGGGGGCAGCAGUGGGGAAUAUUGCACAAUGGGCGCAAGCCUGAUGCAGCCAUGCCGCGUGUGUGAAGAAGGCCUUCGGGUUGUAAAGCACUUUCAGCGGGGAGGAAGGCGGUGAGGUUAAUAACCUCAUCGAUUGACGUUACCCGCAGAAGAAGCACCGGCUAACUCCGUGCCAGCAGCCGCGGUAAUACGGAGGGUGCAAGCGUUAAUCGGAAUUACUGGGCGUAAAGCGCACGCAGGCGGUCUGUCAAGUCGGAUGUGAAAUCCCCGGGCUCAACCUGGGAACUGCAUUCGAAACUGGCAGGCUAGAGUCUUGUAGAGGGGGGUAGAAUUCCAGGUGUAGCGGUGAAAUGCGGAGAGAUCUGGAGGAAUACCGGUGGCGAAGGCGGCCCCCUGGACAAAGACUGACGCUCAGGUGCGAAAGCGUGGGGAGCAAACAGGAUUAGAUACCCUUGUAGUC